AUCCAGCGACUCUGUGCGCUCUCAUCUCAGGUUCUUCUAGCUUGAACGAUCAGAACUCUGAUACCCUUAAUUAAAUUUAGGGCAGAAAUGGAAGAAGGAGCCGAUGAGGAUGGAAAUGAUAAGAACCAAGCAUGCCCUAGUCUGCAGCAACCACAAGUGAAGUCUGCAUAUACUUAUCGUCUGGAAUACUCAUUUGAGCAAGAAAUUAUGGAUCGGUUUUGCGAAGGAAGGUCCACCAAGCUAAGCACUGAAGGAGCCUCGGCCUCGGACCUUCAUAGGAGGCUAAGGGAUUGAACCAAUGGAUCUUCUAUACUACACACAAUGAUGUCGCCAAAACUCAAAAGUUCCAACAUUCCUAAUCUCUUAUCGGUGUAUAGAUCAUAGAGAGCAUAUAUUCAACAAAAAGUGGGACACGAGUACGUUAUCAUACAAUGUCAUCAUAGUACUGCCAAGAUUUUGCUCGAGAGGGGGGGAUUUCAGAAGAAUAACAAGAAGAUCGAAUUAUAUUACAUCUCCUAAUAAUGUAUUACGUUUUUGGACCUCCUUUAUAACAAAAACAAAAAAACUGCUUCUGCUUGUUAUUACAUACAUCAUGAAAUUCUUUCUAAUUCAGAACAUGUUGCCUUUCUCAAUGUGUGGGAAUAUCUGCAAUUACCUACCUCAACCAUUAUAAGAGAUCCCGAACUUUUAUAUUCUCA